UACGGGGGGGGCAAGCGUUGUCCGGAUUUAUUGGGCGUAAAGAGCUCGUAGGCGGUUCGGUAAGUCGGAUGUGAAAUCUCCAGGCUCAACCUGGAGGGGUCAUUCGAUACUGCCGUGACUAGAGUUCGGUAGGGGAGUGUGGAAUUCCUGGUGGAGCGGUGAAAUGCGUAGAUAUCUGGAGGAACACCGGUGGCGAAGGCGACAUCCUGGACCGGUAUUGACGCUGAGGCGCGAAAGCCAGGGGAGCAAACGGG
rnacentral:rRNA from 1 species